CUAAAAGGACCUUUUUGUUAAGGGUCCUGAAAAUACUGCACGAGAGUAAAUGUUGCUGCCUCUGUCGGGUGCCAGCAGGGUGUUCCCCAACUGCCGUGCAGCGCACAGCUCGCAGCUUCCCCAUCAGCAUGCUCACCUCUCAUUCAAGCCCCUGCACUAUCUUAUCAGCACGCUCAUUAUACCCGCAGAAACACAGUGUAAACAUCUCCAGCAAGCUGCACUCGAUGACAGUUUCCUUGCCAAAUCAGCCACUUCCCCGCCUGAGUGAUGGCUGUGAGAGAGGGUUUGUGUAGCUGCUGCUGUUUGAACAAGCGAGGAGUGCACACAGCUCCCUUCCUGCGAGCACACACGUGCACCUGCUCGGCGGAGCUUCAUCACAGCAGAGGAAUUAGAAAGAAAAGGCAAAGCCGUGUUUGCUCUGUGCUGAGCCCUGAUUUGAUGGGAACGCAUUGCAAUACCUGCUGCAGCGAGCCCUGCUUUCCGGGCAGAGGAUGGGUGGCACCACGCAAUGGAAACUGCUCUGAGAUGAGAUCUGAAACAGCUGCAGUUCCCUGAAGGUAUAGAAGAGGCAACACAGAGCUUGAUAACGGGAGUCCUCCAAGUCUUGACUCAUCAUUGUAUGGUGGCUAUAAGUUGCACCUGGGGAGGAUGUGUUGGGGUUGGGGAUCUGAGCGAUCUUUGCCAACCUGAGUCAUUCUAUGAAUGCAUUCCAUGAAUCCAUUGGGUCUGUAGGGGAAGAAACGUGGGCAGAUCUUGGCAUCGUGGGGUGUGGGGGGGGGGAUGCUGCAGGUUUCUGGGACGUGGGCUGAUUCCUGCCAUAGCAAUUAGCCUGAUCCAGGCUGAGAGUGUGCGUUCUUGGGGAGCAACGACAAACCAAGGCUGUUAAUGACAGCGGGGAACGUUCUGGCAUGCGGUGGCAGGUGGAUUUCUUCACCCAGUGAGGAAAGGGACUGGAUUUCAAUAAAAGGUGAGGGCACAGUUCUGAGAAAGCAACCUUGGAUUCGGAGAUUAACGGCUAAUUCGAUUAAAAUGAAAUGGAAAGACAAACAAAGCCUGCAAGUAAGGCUCCUGAUUUCAAAUAGGCAAAUCUUUGUUGACUGAGGGAAAUCCACAGGAAUGAAAACUGGGCUUAGGAGCUCGGAGAGGCUCACGGUUUUUCGGAGUCAAGAAAACAAAGCUGGGUACGAGUGUGAGCUGAGGGCAGGGAGAGCCUUCCCAUGAGGGUUCCAGUCCCAGCGAGCUGAGAAACCACCUCAAAAGGAUGCUAACAGCACUCUGAAUGCCUGCGAGGGAUGCAGCAACAGGCGGGUCAGCAGGGGAGGCAGCGCUUAGAGGUCGGCGUGUGGAGGAAUCAGUGAGGGCUGCCAAAACUGGGAUGAGUAAUCUUGCAACAGGCACUGAAACAACCUGCCCAAAGGUCUUCAGGUGUAGAGCAGAAAGGGCAAGGAAGGAAGGGGGCAUGCUUUGCAGACAGCAUAGGGUAAGGAUGGAGUGGCUAAAUAUUGCCUUGGAAGGACUUAAUUGUGAGUGGAAAAAUGGGGCUGAAAGGAGGGCAAGGUUUAUUAGGAAGGAUAUGGCCGAGUUCCUGGAAGAAACGAAAUUAAGAGGUCAGCAUUUGGUCGGGGGCUGUAGGGAAAUAUUUCCAACCUCUGGUGGUGGCAGAGCGGAGGAGGUCACUUUGGGAUUUGUGAGGGGUCUGUGUCAUCUCAGUGUUAUAUGCAGGGAAGCGCUGGGGUCAUCGUCCCUGGGGGUGCUGCAGAGCCGUGGGAAUGUGGCACUGAGGGACGUGGUCAGGGAGCACGGUGGGGUGGGUUGGGGAUCUGAGAGGUCUUUGCCAACCUUAAUAUGGUUCUGUGAUUCUGGGGCCAGAGCACCAGAUUUCCUACCUGCAUUUACAAGAGGAUGAGACGUUGGUGUGUGAUGCAUGUACGAAUGGAGACUGAUGUGCACUAGGAUGAACGCUUUGCUUUCCUUUGCUACGGUGACUCAACCUCUAGAAGGAGCCCGAGAAGAAAAGCCACUUCUACCUUGCUUCGGGGUGAAAGCUCCAGCUCUUUCCAGGAAAAGGAGCUUCUCCCGGUGCUGCUCUGGCACAUCCCUCCCGUUCCUGGAGGAGGGCUCUGAGCAGCGCUGCUGCUUUCUGCCUGCAGCCCAGGCUGCCUCCUCCGCUUCCUCGCUCUCAGCUCGCAGUAACCUGAACCCGUCCUUCCCCUUUUCCUUACUUCCCUCGUGCUCGGGCUUGCUGCUGAGCAGCCCCGGAGCCAGGAGGGAGGCAGCAGAAGGGGAGCAGGGAGAGGUGGAGGGAAGGGAAAGGCACAGUGAGAAAAGUGAGGAAAAAGAGAGAGAAACUGUUGGGUUUUUUUCCGAUUUGUUGGAAAUCUCUCCUCCGCUGUCCUUUAGCAAACGUAUCCCGGUUUUGCAGCGGCUGUAGCUGAGAACUGCAGGCUGGGAGCAGAGGAAGAUGAAAUGAAAGGAAGAGGUGGGAGAGGGCUCAUGCAUUCCACGUGGGGCAGCACAGGGCGGUGGGCAUGGGGUCAGGUAGGGGUGGCUGUGCAUGGAAGAGCACACCUGCCUCCCCCCCAAGCUGCUCUCAUGGGAUGUCUGGCAAUGCCAAAAGGUGACCAGGUCAGUAUGAACGCACAACUUUCCAGCAGCCAGCACCUGCCAGGAUUAAUCAUUACAUCAAAUGCAAAGCUUCAGGGGAAAAAAAAAAAAAAAAAAAAAAACAACCUGAAACAGCAGCGGCUGUAUAAAAACCUGAAUGAUUCCACUGGCAAACUGAGCGGAGUGCCCUUCGCUGCCCUGCCAUGCACAGGAGGAAGGCACUGGCUGGCACACGGUGCAUACAUACUGGUGGCAGGGGUUCCCUCCCCUCCCCGUGCCUUGCUUCUGGGAUCUUCUGUGUCACUUUGCUGCUGACGAGGCUGCGCUGCGAUGGGGGCUGGCUGUGCUGGAAGGCAGCGAGUAGCAGGGUGUGCUUGGAGGUUGUGUUUGGAGCAGAGCCCCUCUCCCCGACCCCACCUCCUUUCCCCCUUUCUGAGAUGCUGGCCUCUUUCAACUGACAGCCCGCUUUCCUGGCAGGCUUGUUAGCUUUAGCUGGAACAAUUUCCUUUGAACUCAGCUUGAAUUAACAUCUCCAUGGCAAUAGGAUCAGGGCUUUGUCUCUCGCAACCUUCCCUUCACCCUCAACAUGAGGUCCUUCCAGGAGGUGGGAAGGGAGCACCACCACCUCCUCCUGGGGAAAGGCAGAGGCUGGGAGCACAGCCUGGGGUUCCCUUGGGGAGGGGAAGCUGCAGCAGAUGCUGGCAGGCUGGAGCUGGGUUUGGGUUAGCUUGCUGCAUAGAAGCCAGCGAGUGAGCGUGUGUUGGGGGUAAGAGGAAAGCAACUUGCUUCCCUUCACCAUAAACAACCACAAACAUGGUUCCCUAGGAUGGGAUGUCUCUGGUGCUGAGCCAGCACGGUGGAAGGAAAAUGAUGCUGUACCCAAACUGAGCACUUCCCCUCUGCCCGUCCACCCCUGUACUGCAGCACCCAGUUCCCCACCACUACACCCACCUCCAUCUCCACCACAUGUGCUCCUUCACCCCCAGGGCUCUGAGGUGCUGCUGGAGGAGCAGGAUCUCUAGCAGCAGUCCAUGCAAUGCACUCAUCCAACCCAUACCCUCCCACGAUGCCUCUUUUUCCCUGCAGUGUGAAAAAGCCACUUGCAAGCACCACUGGGACGAAGCUGAGCUGAAAACCUCACUGCCCUGCAAGCCCAAUCCCAGUGCACCUCUGGCUGUUUGCCUAUCACCUUGCUGCUCAGUUCCCUCCUUCCAGCUGCCCCAAACCUUGAACUUCCCAUCUCUGCCAACCACACAUCACCCCCAUCACCUGGGCACCGGAGAAAGGACCACUUCAUUCCUCCCCACCAUGGCCCACGUGGGUCCGUCUGUUUGCCAUUAGUGGGCUCUUGCUAACAAUAUGGGGUUUUUUCCUCUUGUGGAGUGAGAGGCUGGUUUUGGAGCCAAGUCUGUAGGUGGGAAAAAAAGAGGACUUUUCCUUUGAAUGCCAGCUAACUUCUUUGAGAGCUGCCUCUGGGAAAUCAAAUCUCAGUUUCUUCUCUUUUUUGGGUUGUGGGGGAGCUGCAAGCACAGCAGUAGCAUUUCUCUUCCCCCUGCUCCCGAACACCCCGGGGAUGGCCAUGCUCCCAACACCAGGAUGGGCUGCAAGGAUGGAACCCUGCAGUGUCCAGAGAGGCUCUGCUGGGUGUUAGCUGCUGGCGGGGUCACUGCAGCUGUGGUCCCUGUGGCAGGACAAGCUCCUCUGCUCUGUGCCGUGCCCAGGUCUGUGGGGCACUGUGAUGCUCUGGGGUCAUAGAAUCAUCAAUGUUGGAAAAGACCUCUAAGAUUAUUUGGUCUGACUGUCUCAUGGCCUCAUGUGUUCGGGUUCCUCCUGCCUCCUUCUCCCCCCGCAGUGCCGCUGCUCCCUCCUCCAGCCGUCCCUGCAGCUGGAUCGCAGCAGGCAGCUCUCAUUCCCUGUUAAUGAGAAACUCCUGCACUUUGUCCCUUGAAAUGGAGCCAUGUUCGCCACGUGACUGCAGGGAAGGGUUUCGGCGAAGGCUGCAGAGAAGAAAGAGGGAAGGCGGGGGGCUGAGCACCCGUGGGUGCUGGGCUGGGGCUGGGCAGGGAGGUGGGAGGCAGCUGCGGGAUGCGAGAUCUCACCCCGCUGACCCCACGCUGACUCAGCUCUGCCUGCAUCUCAUUCCUUCAUACCGGGAAGGGGAACUCACCCCCACGCAUGCUGCCUCCCCCGUGCCCAACCUCAGCCGGGCUCAGCACACAGCACGUUCUGGUCUCUGUGCUCAGUCACCAUGAAUCAUGAACGGGGGUGGUUUCCCGGAGCUGGGCUGUGGGGUCAGCCCUCACCCGGUGCACCUGGGGCUGCCCUCUCCCCAUGGGAGCCCAGGGAAACCCCCACAUUACUUUGCUGGGGCAGCUCCAGCUGUCCCUGGGACGGCUGGCAGGAGCAUCACUGAGCAGGAAGAUGACAUGUCAUUGCCACAAGCCCAGCUGUGCUGUCAGUGGGGGCACAAACCUUCCCGGCACACCUGGGGGCAGCUCCCCAUCAGUGCAGCCCCUGCGCCAUAGGGAUGCUGUGCCCCAGGAGCUGUGAGCAGGCAGAGUGCCGUGCCAAGUGCUGCCUCCCUCUGCUUAUCUUCUCCCUCUGACACAGACUGGGCUGCCCUGACCUUGCUGUGGCUCCUGCCCAGGCAGGGAUUUUUUUUUCUUGCAACCCUGCACUGAGAGCUGGGCAAGGAAUAUGGGAUUCCUUCUGCAGAGCUGGGAGCUGCUCCAUCAGUUCGGGGCUGUAGAGUUAAAUGCUGGAGCCAAAUCUCCUUAGGCUUUGGGGUCCUGGAAGUUGGCAGAAGCACCUUGCCUGUCAUGCGCCGUGGGGAGGACAAAGCUUCCCUAGGAAGCCUCCUAUGGGGUGGGUGGGGAGGCAGAGCCACGGGAAACUCUCAGCCAGCUGUGAUUUUUCACCAGAAUCCAAGAACCCGACGGGAAUCAGCAGCUGCACUUAAUCAUGCCGGGUCAUUAAAGUGACACAGCAGCUCUGCAGGGAAGGGGAGCUACCAGCCCCGGGGCAGGGGAGUUGGAGGGGGAGAAGCCUGUCUGAAAUAGCCAGACACAAAACCAGAAAAGGACCUCAGAAAGGCUGAGGAGAAAGAGAGGAGGAAAAUAUUCCUGGGAGCCUUGGUGGUGUGCCCAGCUGGUGAGAUCUGUGUCUCGUGGCCACGGGGCUGGGAGCUGGGAUAGGGCAGAGGAUUACCUGCUGGAGUUGGGUUUCUCUGCUGGCCUCGUGCUUUAUCAGUCCCCCAGGAGCACUGAACCGAGGCCAGGCAAGGAGGAAAGCUUUUCCUUCGCUCCAUCCCCCAAAUGCCACAUCAGCAGCGAGCUGCAGGAUGACCUCAAUGAGGAACAGAUUGUCCCUUGGCCUGCCUCCACCUCCCUGUGCUGGGGAUGUCGGGACCCCGAGGUGGGGUGACGGGAUGAGCCACACACUGGGAUAACAGCAGCCACAGCCAGAGCAGCGGGUCUGGGACAGGAGCUGCUAUUUGAUGCAGCAGGACCGUCAGUCCAACAAACUGCCUGAUUUUGCAGAACGUUCCAGGAAAGCACGGGAAACGUUUCCAGCAAAAUUUGCAAGAAAAAUAUUUGCAUUUCCCUCCAGGCUGAUUUGUAACCUAGAUUGCUAGGGUUGGGGGCCUGGGGGGGAGGGCAGGGGGUGCUGCUUUUCAGUAAGUUUCCGCAAAAUAGAUAUUUCCCUUUAGUCUGGAAAAAAAAACGAAAUUCAGACCACUGCAGAUGCUCAAAUGCCAAAUGACUUUCAAGCAUGAGAAAAUCUUGAAAUCCUAAGCAUAAAACAUAUGGCGCUUUGCUUUGGAACGAGAUUGAAAGGGAAAAGCUCAACGGUAAAGCUGAACCGAGGACAUUUCAUUAUUCAGAGUGAUAGGAAGGAGUUUUCUUUUAGCCCUAAGAAGACUGAAUUUUGAGCAGAUCUGGCUGUUCUUGAAGGCAAGCAGCAGCCUUAUUAUUUAUUUGCAUUGUGGUCACAUCGGGUCAAUUAUUAAAUCGCUUAAAUGAAAGCCAGAAAGCUCCUUAGGAAUCUAUUUAAUGCAAAAGCGUGGAUGGAAAUGGAAACGACCAACCAGAUUUUUUUUUUUUUUUUUUUUCCAGUUUAAGAGAAAAACACCAACCGUUGGCUUUGGGAUUUGGGACAGCUUUGGACUUCCAAUAUGAGAAGCGCAAUGGGGAGCCAAUAGCCCAAAUAUGAAAUACCAGGGGGAUCCGUGCCCGUAUUAGCGCCGUCUAUUUUUGCCCCACGUGAGCUCUCCCAUUUCACAAGCUGCCAUUCACAUCCCGUGAGCCAGAAGCGACUGUGUGACUCAGAGCUGUGCUCAGAGCCGCUUCCCUGACCCCGUCUGCAACUGCACAUCGCCCCAAGGCACAGCAGCUCAUUAACCUUGGGUUGUUCUUUGGAGCUGCAGGUGGUUUCCCCGCUCGUGAUCCCAUCCCUGUCCCUCUCCCCAACCAUUCACCUCCUGUGGGCCACGGUUCUUUUCCAAAUGUCCGCUUUAUGAAUCGCUUUAAUUAGUUUUAUAUCACUCCGUUGUAUUUAUAUCGCUUGACGUAGGCUUCACGUUGCUUCCAUUACAUCUCAUAGAUUGCUGUGAUUUUAUUUAUGGUGUUUCUGGUGCAUUUGCAUUGCUUUCCUGAGAUGGAUAUCACGUUGGCUGGAUUUACAGUGUAUUUCUUCAGUUAGAUUUAUAUCGCUUUAAUUAGAUUUAUAUCUCUUUAGGCUUUGAGGGCUUCAGUUAGAUUUAUAAUCUCUCUUUUACCAACCUCGUCUUGCACAGGAGAUUCGCAUCCCUUUUCUUUCAAAGGCAACUGAUUAAUUCAACACCAGUGUUGCUUUAUCUAGGCUUUGGUCAGCCUCCCAGUUAGGGACACGAAGCCAGAACUCACCACUUGCUUGCUUUCCCCUUCAUUUCCAAUGGGUUUAUUCCACCAUAAACUGAAUGAACCUCUUCCAAGUCAACGCCAGCAUGAAUGUACUGGAGAUCAUCUCACUGACUGGAUCAGGGAGAGUCCAGUUAGCGAGAUGCCAUUUCUAUUCCUCUCCUCCCUGUGCACUAAGUGCCUCCAGGAGCAGUGUGCAGCUGUGUGAUGGAGGCUCCAGGCUGGCUUUUCCCAGUGCCAUAAUCAAGAAGCCUUCAUUGGAGCUGAGGUCUUGCAGAACACAAGCUGUGCUUCCCAGCAACAGCCGCAGAGGACCUGGCUUUGUGCUCCUGCCCAGCUCUGAUCACAUCAGCCGGAGAAAUCAGCUGGAAGGGUUCUACAUCCAUGUGCUUCGGGGUGAAAGCCAAGCUGGGAUUGAGAGGGGUCAGUGGGUGUUCCCUGAGGGCUGUUGUUUCAGGUGUUCGCAGCAGGAUGCUCGGCUGCUUUCCCAGUUGGAGGCAAUUUAGGGCUCUGCUGAAGGGCAGGCUGGGGGCUGGGUGCACUCAGCUUUAGCUGAUGGAAAUGAAUUCCCAUUAAUCCCUCCAACCAUCAGCCCUUGGUUGGGCAGGGGUGGCUGCACCCUGAGCUCUCACCAGACCAAACCAACCUCCUGACCCUCUCCUUGCCCAAAACACAGCAAGACCCUGGUGUUUACUGCGUGCCCAGGGAUGUUGUAACAUCCACGGAAUCAUUAGGGAACCAGUGGAAAAGAUCAGUAAGCUCUUCAAGUCCAACCCCAACCCUUCCCCACUGUGCCCACGAACCACGUCCCCAUCCUCUGCCCUUCCUGCAGCUGCACAAACAAGAGUGCUGUCUCAAUUAACGUGCUUCUAAUCAGGCCAUCAGCAUCUCUGGAAGAGAGUCUGCAUCCCAAGCAUUGGCUGCAGAGGUCUGAGCAUUCCAUUGCCCUCCCCAUGCUCUGCCACUGGGCCCCAUUCAUUUAAUUACGCCCGGCUGCUGUACUCCUCACCCUUUUAAUUGCCCAGGACACAGAACAGCGUGGUAAGCAGGUCAGAGAUAGAUGCUGGGCAUUGUUUUAAGACAGUAAAGCUGUUUUUAAACAGCGUUCAGAAGCUUGCUUUAUGUAAUUGCUGAGAGAAGGAGGGCAUUCAGCAGGGGCAGCGGGGAAAGCUCCAAAGGGAUGCUGAGCAGCUCCUAAUUAACGACAAAUGACUCGGAGCCUGAUGCACUGCUGUAACAGUCAGAUCCCUGCCGAAUACCACAGCUGCAAAUCCUUUCCCAGAGCUUCAGACCAAGCCAUAGGUCUGCAGCAAUAUUCCCAGGUAUAGCUGGGAUUUAGUCAACAAUUUGGAGGUCUGGGAGAGCAAAACCCAAACUAAUUAACUCUCCCUGAGGCUUAUUAGUUCUCUGGUGCUGGGAUCAACGGUAAAAAGCUGGUUUUUAUGUGCUCACAUCCCCGAAAAGAGCUGCCCUGAUUGAACACUUCAAAAAGCACUGGUGAUUCUUUCAUGUAGUUUAAAAGUAGAGUUUGGCAUGAAAAUGAAAACAAAGGAUGGGAGAUUAAAUAGAUCAAGGCAGCACAUUUGGGCCUGAUCCCUCACCUCAGUUACACCACUUCUACCUGAAAUUGACGGCGGUGAAAGUAAGACGAGAAACUCAGUGACUGAACAGGCAGCAAAGGCUUGUGCUUGGUUGGUUUUCAUUGUGAAGACUGAUAUUGCUGAAGCCAUUCUGGACAAGGUGUGUUUUCAGAGCACAACUAAGGUCUGUUUCUCCUUCCUCUUCCCCUUGCACCUCUGUCCUGAUCUCAGUCUGUGCAAGCAGUCAGCCAAAGCGCUGGAAGGAAAAGCUGCUUGGCUCUGUGUGUGCAGUCCAGCAAGGGAAAUAAACCCGAUGGGGCCAGGGCAGGGGAUGGAAAGCCUGGCGAGCCACAGGCAAGCUGCCCAGGCUGAGGCUGCAUGGCUCGGGAUGUGUUGGGUGAGCAGCCUGCCCAGGGCACUGCCCUCUCAGGAUGUUUCCUGGGGUCCUGCUGAGCUCUGCAGCCUCACAGAUGCGCUAACUGCAGUGCUGAAAGGGCAUUGAGUGAUGCUGGAGUAGCUCCCAAAGACAUGUGGCCCCAGAACAGUGGGGAAGCCUGCUCAGCCCCUGUUCUGCUGCCCUCCCAAAGCUCAUCAUGCUUUCCGAGCACGGGUGGAAUCAGGAUCUUGCUUUGCUCUGCAGUUCUUAGUCUGCUCUCAGUGAAUGUGAUCUAGCCUCAAACCUCUUGCACUGACAAGACAGGUGGAUGCAAGGCCUUGAUGCCAGCUCCAUCCAUCCCCUCCAUGUCUUGACCACGCAGGAGCAAUGUCCAAUUCAUUACACACAGCCUACUACAUCCCCUUGGAAGAAAAGGGACUUGACAUCAGUGGUCUAUCUAAGCUGUGCCUCGGAGGGGACUUAGAUCAGCUGGUUCUGAGCUCUCCAGCAGGCACUAAUUACCCUAACAAGCUUCCCCAGGCCUUUCCCCAAGCACCCUCUUCCCAUUGGCCCUAUAGCUCCAUUUGAGUUCAGGCCAGGAGCUGCACUGUUCCACUGAGCAACUGGAGCAGUGGAUGAGGGGAGGAUUAGGGCAGCACUAUCACCCAUGGAGGCAGCCCUAGGCACGGAGCAGGCUUGGUGGGACAGUGCAUCCCCAGGCAGGGGCUCUCAGCUUUGCAGCAAGAGCUGUCUGAGUCCGGAUCUGAGUGGGUGCUAAUCCCUUCCUGGUUUUCCGAGGUGCUGAUGCGAC